GUAAAAUUUUUCCAGGAUUUCACAAGAUAUAACUGUAAUAUUUCACAGUUAAUUACAUUAUUACCACUUCACAGGCUUUAACUGUGAUAAUUCACAAUAUAAUACCGUAUUUAGACUUUUACUGUGAAAAUAAUGCAGGCGCGGGGCUUUUACAAGAAACUACUGUGAAUGCCACCUUUUUUGAGUGGCAACUGCGGCAGCGCCAUCAGAGCGUCAUCAGAGAUCUCUGAUCUACGUGGUCUCAUUCGGUGGAUUCAGACAGCGCAUUUUCUACAUUGACCGACGAUAAAUAAAGUUAUAAGGUGCUUCUUGGGCAUCAACCCAGAGACGGGCACAAAAUCUAAGAGGCAGAGAGGUCACAUGAACCAGCAAGUCUGCACUCUUAUCAGGAAGCUCAUUGACUUCGAAUGGAUGUCAAUCUAAUUGGAUAGAACCCACACUAUGCAGGUGCCAGCUGCGAGGGAAAGAGCGAGACACCUGCGACCCUCUCUAUUCCCACCUUUUUGUCUUUUCUUACAUCUCUCUCCCUCACUCUCUCUUCUCUGUCUCCUUCUUUCUCUUUUGACACACAUUCCUGUUACCCAGUGUCAAUCCCUGUUGCCCAGUGUUUUAUUCAUGUAAUUAAAUUGUAUUUUACUUCUAAAAAAUAAAAGUUAUGUCACUGUUUUUAUCAGUUUUGUUUGGUCCAUCAUUUAUGCUAAAUCACAGUAAUAGAUAGACAUUCACAGUUAUGUACAGUAAUUCUACA